rnacentral:rRNA from 1 species
GAGUCUGGCCUGCUCACUGAUUUAUUUAAAGAGCCGCGGUAUUUUGACCGUGCAAAGGUAGCAUAAUCAUUAGUUUCUUAAUUAGAGGCUUGUAUGAAUGGUUUAACGAGAAAUCAACUGUCUCUUGAUAAUUAUUAGAAUUUACCUUUUGAGUUAAAAGGCUUAAAUUUUUCUUUAGGACGAGAAGACCCUAUAGAGCUUAACAUUUUAUUUUUAUAUAUUUUUUAUGAUUCUUUAUUUGUAUUUAACUUUAAUGUUUAGUUGGGGUGACUUGAAGAAUUAAUAAACUCUUCAUUAUAAAAUCAUUAAUUUAUGUUUAUUAAGAUCCAUAAUUUAUGAUCAUAAGAUUUAGUUACCUUAGGGAUAACAGCGUAAUUGUUUUUUAGAGUUCAUAUCAACAAAGCAGAUUGCGACCUCGAUGUUGGAUUAAGAAUAUUUCUAGGUGUAGUGGCUUGGUAAUUAGGUCUGUUCGACCUUUAAAUUCUU